AUGCACGCUGGCGGCGUGCCUCAUCCCUGCAAGUCGCGCGAACAGACGAGGAGCUUGCUCCUCUGACGUUAGCGGCGGACGGGUGAGUAACACGUGGAUAACCUACCUAUAAGACUGGGAUAACUUCGGGAGACCGGAGCUAAUACCGGAUAAUAUAUUGAACCGCAUGGUUCAAUAGUGAAAGACGGUUUUGCUGUCACUUAUAGAUGGAUCCGCGCCGCAUUAGCUAGUUGGUAAGGUAACGGCUUACCAAGGCAACGAUGCGUAGCCGACCUGAGAGGGUGAUCGGCCACACUGGAACUGAGACACGGUCCAGACUCCUACGGGAGGCAGCAGUAGGGAAUCUUCCGCAAUGGGCGAAAGCUUGACGGAGCAACGCCGCGUGAGUGAUGAAGGUCUUCGGAUCGUAAAACUCUGUUAUUAGGGAAGAACAAAUGUGUAAGUAACUAUGCACGUCUUGACGGUACCUAAUCAGAAAGCCACGGCUAACUACGUG
rnacentral:rRNA from 1 species